rnacentral:lncRNA from 1 species
CCUACGGUUGCCUGUAGAGAAUCACACCUACCCACAAGGCUGUCUCUGUUAUGCAAAAAGAAAAACAAAGUGAGCAAGGAGAGGAAAUGAACAUCAGAGGAAAAUAAGAAAUGGGACCAGGAGAUCGGCUACAGGAUAGCAAAGGAAGACAAAGAAGAUUAAAGAGAAAAAUGCAAGAAAACAAAAGAACUGACAAUGUGAAUGAAAGGAGAGAGAAAUAAAAUAAAAAUAUCAAAUGGAAUAUGUCUAAGGCUUCCAGGUCUGAAUGGAAUGUGAACUGGUGAACCUCCAGGCAACGAUCCGUUAUUUUACCAAGGUCC